GAUGAACGCUGACGGCGUGCCUAAUACAUGCAAGUCGAGCGAACGGACGAGAAGCUUGCUUCUCUGAUGUUAGCGGCGGACGGGUGAGUAACACGUGGAUAACCUACCUAUAAGACUGGGAUAACUUCGGGAAACCGGAGCUAAUACCGGAUAAUAUUUUGAACCGCAUGGUUCAAAAGUGAAAGACGGUCUUGCUGUCACUUAUAGAUGGAUCCGCGCUGCAUUAGCUAGUUGGUAAGGUAACGGCUUACCAAGGCAACGAUGCAUAGCCGACCUGAGAGGGUGAUCGGCCACACUGGAACUGAGACACGGUCCAGACUCCUACGGGAGGCAGCAGUAGGGAAUCUUCCGCAAUGGGCGAAAGCCUGACGGAGCAACGCCGCGUGAGUGAUGAAGGUCUUCGGAUCGUAAAACUCUGUUAUUAGGGAAGAACAGAUGUGUAAGUAACUGUGCACAUCUUGACGGUACCUAAUCAGAAAGCCACGGCUAACUACGU
rnacentral:rRNA from 1 species